GGUGAACGCUGGCGGUAGGCCUAACACAUGCAAGUCGAACGGCAGCACAGUAGGAGCUUGCUCUUACGGGUGGCGAGUGGCGGACGGGUGAGGAAUACAUCGGAAUCUACUUUUUCGUGGGGGAUAACGUAGGGAAACUUACGCUAAUACCGCAUACGACCUACGGGUGAAAGCAGGGGAUCUUCGGACCUUGCGCGAUUGAAUGAGCCGAUGUCGGAUUAGCUAGUUGGCGGGGUAAAGGCCCACCAAGGCGACGAUCCGUAGCUGGUCUGAGAGGAUGAUCAGCCACACUGGAACUGAGACACGGUCCAGACUCCUACGGGAGGCAGCAGUGGGGAAUAUUGGACAAUGGGCGCAAGCCUGAUCCAGCCAUACCGCGUGGGUGAAGAAGGCCUUCGGGUUGUAAAGCCCUUUUGUUGGGAAAGAAAAGCAGCAGGUUAAUACCCCGCUGUUCUGACGGUACCCAAAGAAUAAGCACCGGCUAACUUCGUG
rnacentral:rRNA from 1 species